AUUGAACGCUGGUGGCAGGCCUAACACAUGCAGGUCGAACGCGAAAGCUCUUCGGAGUGAGUAGAGUGGCGGACGGGUGAGUAACGCGUGGGAAUCUACCUAGUAGCGGAGGAUAACUCGGGGAAACUCGAGCUAAUACUGCAUACGCCCUACGGGGGAAAGCGGGGGAUCUUCGGACCUCGCACUAUUAGAUGAGCCCGCGUGAGAUUAGCUUGUUGGUGAGGUAAAGGCUCACCAAGGCGACGAUCUCUAGCUGGUCUGAGAGGAUGAUCAGCCACACUGGGACUGAGACACGGCCCAG
rnacentral:rRNA from 1 species